rfam:Bombyx mori DNA, contig: Bm_scaf8_contig6677, strain: p50T/Dazao, build 2, whole genome shotgun sequence.
UUAACUCAAAUUUGUUUGCAAUUGGAACGUUUGCCUACGUUUGCCGCUAGGGGCGCUGUUCGAACUGCAUACAAAAAUUGGUUA